CCUACGGGAGGCUGCAGUGAGGAAUAUUGGUCAAUGGCCGGAAGGCUGAACCAGCCAAGCCGCGUGAAGGACGAAGGUGCCAAGCAUUGUAAACUUCUUUUGUCAAGGGACAAAAUCAGGCUCGAGAGCCUGACCGAGGGUACUUGAAGAAAAAGCAUCGGCUAACUCCGUGCCAGCAGCCGCGGUAAUCCGGAGGAUGCGAGCGUUAUCCGGAUUUACUGGGUGGAAAGGGGGCGCAGACGGCGAUGCAAGCCAGGAUGGCAAGCCCUGGGCCCAACCCCGGGACUGCUCUUGGAACUGCGUGGCUGUAGUGCAGGAGUGUCAGGCGGAAUUCCUGGUGUAGCGGUGAAAUGCGUCGAUAUCAGGAGGAACACCCGUGGCGACGGCGGCCUGCUGGACUGCAACUGACGUUGAGGCCCGCAAGCGUGGGGAGCAAACAGGAUUAGAUACCCUUGUAGUC
rnacentral:rRNA from 1 species